rnacentral:rRNA from 1 species
UGGGGAAUAUUGCACAAUGGGCGCAAGCCUGAUGCAGCCAUGCCGCGUGUAUGAAGAAGGCCUUCGGGUUGUAAAGUACUUUCAGCGGGGAGGAAGGGAGUAAAGUUAAUACCUUUGCUCAUUGACGUUACCCGCAGAAGAAGCACCGGCUAACUCCGUGCCAGCAGCCGCGGUAAUACGGAGGGUGCAAGCGUUAAUCGGAAUUACUGGGCGUAAAGCGCACGCAGGCGGUCUGUCAAGUCGGAUGUGAAAUCCCCGGGCUUAACCUGGGAACUGCAUUCGAAACUGGCAGGCUAGAGUCUUGUAGAGGGGGGUAGAAUUCCAGGUGUAGCGGUGAAAUGCGUAGAGAUCUGGAGGAAUACCGGUGGCGAAGGCGGCCCCCUGGACGAAGACUGACGCUCAGGUGCGAAAGCGUGGGGAGCAAACAGG